rnacentral:rRNA from 1 species
CCUACGGGAGGCAGCAGUGGGGAAUAUUGGACAAUGGGGGGAACCCUGAUCCAGCCAUGCCGCGUGUGUGAAGAAGGCCCUCGGGUUGUAAAGCACUUUCAGUGAGGAAGAACGCCUGGUGGUUAAUACCCAUCAGGAAAGACAGCACUCACAGAAGAAGCACCGGCUAACUCCGUGCCAGCAGCCGCGGUAAUACGGAGGGUGCGAGCGUUAAUCGGAAUUACUGGGCGUAAAGCGCGCGUAGGUGGCUUGAUAAGCCGGUUGUGAAAGCCCCGGGCUCAACCUGGGAACGGCAUCCGGAACUGUCAAGCUAGAGUGCAGGAGAGGAAGGUAGAAUUCCCGGUGUAGCGGUGAAAUGCGUAGAGAUCGGGAGGAAUACCAGUGGCGAAGGCGGCCUUCUGGACUGACACUGACACUGAGGUGCGAAAGCGUGGGUAGCAAACAGGAUUAGAUACCCUUGUAGUC